UGCAUUGGGAAACAGGUGUUAGUUGUAGAAGUAAUGCUGUGGUAACAGAAGCUAUCAAGGCAUGUGAGGAGGGCAACAUUUCUGAAGAAAACUUUAUCUCCUUAAGCAAGGAUGAAAGAGCGGAUAAGAAAACAGAAAAAAAACCUGAAAAAAUAUGAUGGCAUAUUUCUUCAUUCAAUUCUCCCAUGUCUUUCAAACGGCUUAAUUCUUCCAAUUGUUUCAGCCAACCUAGCAAAGGAGAAAAAAUUGCCUAGGCUUCUACCUCUCUGCAUUAGCGUCCUAUUUGAUUCUGCAAAUAAAUGGAGUCAAAGAAAAUCCACUGCUGGCAGAACCUCAAUGUAUGUCCAGCUUUGGCAUUCCAUCCCUGCUGCCUAAUAUGCUGUUAAUACUUUAAUAAUACAGCGAAUCCUUUCACCAGCCUCACCAGAACACCAACAAUAUCUCCAUUUGCCUUCCUCACAAUCCAAGCUCUAUCUUCUUACCUGAGCACAGCAAUCUCCCUUCUAUCCCUUCAGCUUGCUCAAAACUUAUUAGUCACUUGGAUGUUUCAAUGUAGUUUGAACAGUGAUGUAAUACACAUGAUUUCAGUCCUCUGUAAAAAAAUUUAUAGUCAUACUCCUGGCCUUUGUGUUUUUCAUACCUCCUACUGAUAGAAUUAUGCUAACUGCUGUGCAUGGUUUUUCAAGACAGAUCACAGGGAAGUUUUAUGUGCUAGUUUAUAUAAUUUUCACAUACUUUCUCACAGCACAGCAUACUAUCAUGGAAAUUCCUGAUUUAUGAGAAGAAUUAUGAGAAGAAAAUUAUGUGCUUUUGAAUGACCUAAGAAAUAAGUUCUGGAAAGUAUCUUCUUAGAAUGACAUAUUAUUCAUUUAUCAAAAAUAUAUUUAAGACAAUUAUGUGUGAACUCUGAAAAUAUUAUUAGCUUUGGCAUGAAUAAUGGUUACUUCUUUUUGCUUUUGUGAACUCUUCAGCAAAAAAUUACAGAUGCUACACAAGACCAAUACAUGAGCAAUACUUGAAAAUCUGAUGAUGUAAUAGAGCUACACUCUUGAGUAGAAACCAAAACACAAGUCAUUCAAAAUACAACUUCGAGAUUAACCUAAAAACAUCUAAUAAGUGAGAGAUCUACAGCCCAAUUAAAUUGAGUAGUGCAAAUAUAAAAGGCAAAAUAAUUUUGAGUCUACCAACAAUUGCCUAUAGCCUGAGGUGAAAUGAUGGCACAGAAAAGUUACAUGACCCAGU